rnacentral:rRNA from 1 species
CGCGUAGGUGGUUUGUUAAGUUGGAUGUGAAAGCCCCGGGCUCAACCUGGGGACUGCAUCCAAAACUGGCAAGCUAGAGUACGGUAGAGGGUGGUGGAAUUUCCUGUGUAGCGGUGAAAUGCGUAGAUAUAGGAAGGAACACCAGUGGCGAAGGCAACCACCUGGACUGAUACUGACACUGAGGUGCGAAAGCGUGGGGAGCAACA